AUACGGAGGGGGUUAGCGUUGUUCGGAAUUACUGGGCGUAAAGCGCACGUAGGCGGAUUGGAAAGUUGGGGGUGAAAUCCCAGGGCUCAACCCUGGAACUGCCUCCAAAACCAACAGUCUAGAGUUCGAGAGAGGUGAGUGGAAUUCCAAGUGUAGAGGUGAAAUUCGUAGAUAUUUGGAGGAACACCAGUGGCGAAGGCGGCUCACUGGCUCGAUACUGACGCUGAGGUGCGAAAGCGUGGGGAGCAAACAGCAUUAGAUACCCCAGUAGUCC
rnacentral:rRNA from 1 species